CACCAGGCUAGAAAUCAGGAGACCAUGAGCUCUAAUCCCUUGGACAUGAAAGCCAGCUGGGUUUCUCUGGGACAGUCACUCUCUCCCAGCCCAAUUCACAGGUGGUGGUUGUUGUGAGGAAAAUACUGAGGUGGAAGGACUAUUAGGAGGCUGUAUGCAUCUCGGAUAUGUUGGAGUAUGCUUCCGCAGCGGCUCUACUAAUUAUGUGAUUCUCCUUGCCUUUAGAUGUAUCUUAAAAGCUAUCAUUAAUAUUACAUUAUUGAAAAGAGCCACUUCAGUAAGUAAACUUCAGUUUCUAGUGCAGAAAAUCCACAGCAUUGGUUGCCAUUCAUCUGAACAGCAAUGGAUGAGCUAUUUGAGCAAGCCACCAAGAAAAGAGGAAAAUACGGCUGAAUUCGGUUUACCUGGACUGCAACAGUAUUCACUUUUUGAGGAUAUAUGAAGUGAAUUCUGAAAGCGAACUCUGAAGAUGUCUGGAUCCCUCACAAAUUAUUAAAAGUUAAGAUUGUGCAGCA